GAAAAAAAAGAGGCCUGGUAGAUUCCGAUUACCUGGCCUUGGGAAAUGGCUCUGGCAGAGCCGUGCGCUAAAAUUUGCCAUUGAGACGUAACAAAGUACAAUUUAAUACUAGCUUGCUAAGCGCACUCUUACCACUC
rnacentral:sRNA from 1 species